CCAGAUUGAGGGGAGCUACACCUGAGGAUAAGUACUCAAGGAGCCUCAUUUGGAUCUGACGCAGAUGAUGAGAUCUUAGACUUGAACAUGAAGCCAUAAUUGGAUGAGACAUUUGGGGUUCCUGGGGUGAGGGGGGAAGAAAACACGUUUGCUACCAAGGAUUUUGUAUGAAGUCAUCUUGUAGUCAGAGCAAAAGUUGUGGGAGGAAGCAGCAGAAGAUGAAGAUGAAAUAGACUGGGGCCUGAUUACGACAUAUCUUGAAGACAAUGGACUCUUUUUUUCCUGGUGAAGCCUAUGUGGAACUCUAACAGCUGAGGGUGCUGCCACCACAUGCCCGUAAGUGCACGACCUUUCUGGUCUGGCCGCCCAUCAUCCAUCCCGGUGCGAUCGAAGUUUCCUCUCUUAUAUCCCUCAAGGAGCAGGAGUGGGAGGCAAACGUGUCCACAGUCAGAGGUGAUAAUACCUAACGGCUAAACCAGACAUUUGUGGAUGCUCCAGGCAAGUGGUGUCGCGAGCGUAGAUCUGGGUCCAACCCCCUUCAUUUUAUCGGAGAAGAGGCUGAGUCCCAUGGAAGUUUCUAACAACAAGGAAGCUUACAAGUGGCAGGACUGGAACUUGAUCUUAUGUUGACUGACUUGAAGCCAGAGAAUAUUCAGCGAUGCUGGUUACAUCGACUGCUUCUUUAGCAAGAAGAAGAUAAGUAGAAGAGCGUUCGGUUUGGACAGGAGACCUGGCUUUCU